AUGGCCGCGGCGUGCCGGUGCCGCGGCGAUAGCCCCGACCGCCCCCGCCCUGGCCCCCUGCCCGGCCUCCCGGCCGCCCCGGCCCCGGCCCCGGCCCCGGGCCGGCCUAACGAGGAGCAGAUGUGGCAGCGGCGGGGCCGGCGGGGCCGCGGUGCCCGGCGCGGCUGGGGCGGGGGCCGCGGCGGGCAGGAAGCGGGGGCCCCGGGGACCCCGCCGGCGGGCAGCGGCGGCGGGGCGGCUCUGGUGGCGAGGGGCUGGCCGAGGGGCGGCCGGGGGGAGGGCAGAGCCGAGCCGAGCCGUGCCGAGCCGCCCAGAGCCGCGGAGCCGCGACGGGACACCGCAUGCGGUGCUGAGCCGCGCCGGACCGGGCUGCCCGAGCCGAGCGGAGCCGCCCCAGCCCAGCAUGGCACGCUGGCUCUGGCCGUGCCUUCUGGCCGCGCAGGCCCUGGCCGCCAACUUCCCCCCCCGGUACAGCCUCUACACCGGCGGGGCCGCCCCGCUCGCCCCCGGCCCGGCCGCGGCCCACAGCGGUGCCCGGGCCGCCAGCCGGCACAGGUAGGGAGCAACGGGCACCGGGACGCGCCGGGGCGGCGGGGACGCGGCUGCAGCCCCCCCACCGAUAUGCCACCGGGAUCCCGGCGCCGGGCGGGCACCGGCACGUGCCACGUCCAGCCCGGGGGCGGCGGGAGGGCGACGGGUCCCCAUAAGCGGGGGCGUCACCCCCGGGCCCGGGACGGGUGGGCAGGGGGCGCACGUGGAGGGUCGGGGUGCAGGAUUCCGGGCCGGUCCUUCCUCGGCAUCCACGCGUGGCUCGGCGCUGCCGGAGAGGGGAACAGGGACCCGGACCUCGCCUGUCCCCAUCCCCGUCCUGCCUCGUACCGUGGGCAGCGUGGGGCAGCCCGUGGCUGUGGGUCGGGGCGUUGCGGGGACGCGGGGCUGGGGACGGCCCCGCGCUGGGUUGGGGUCACAGCAGAUUCACCGCGGACACAUCAGCGCCGCGGCGGCCCCGGGGGAUGGCAGGACCUGGCCGCAGCGUGGGGUACGUGGGCAGGGGCUCGGCCGUGGGGCACGGGCACGGUGGAGCCUUUCCCUGCGGCUUUGGGGGCUCAGGGGGGCUCUCCGCGGGUCGGGGUGUGCAGCGCUCCAUCCCGCGGCCCGGGGAGCACGGGGGGUGUCCCCAGAUCCUGCCCUUUCAGGGGAGCGCUGCUUCCAUCCCACGCCCGGGAUGGGGACGGCCCCGGUGCGGGGCGGUGGGACCCCAGGGCAGCCCGGGGGUCCCGGGGCCUCGCGGGUGCGGGGCUGGGACGGGGGGGAGAAGAGGGGGGCCGUCGGUCGGCGCAGGAAUUCCCGGCGGCCCCCGGGGAGGAGCUGGAAUCCAGCCGGGGCCUGAGGGGAACCAGCCGGGCUGACGGGAACCGGCCGCCGCACCGGGGCCCCGCGGCGGGGACCCAGCGCCGCUCCCCGGGGGGCUGCCCAGUGAGGGUUGGGGGGCCCGAGCGGGGCCCGGGAUUCGGGUCCCGACCAUAUAAGGCUGCGCCGGGGUCGCUGCAGCGGGGCCAGGCUGCAGUCCCAGGCGGGGGGGGCCGGGGUCCCCACAGGCUGCGGCGCUGCGCUGGGGAGCGGCGUGUGGCGGCCGCGGCUGCUCCGGCCCUCCCGGCUCCCAGUUCCCCGAGGGGGCAGGGAACACCGGGGCAGGGAUGGGGCAGCACUCACGGCGCCCGUCCCCGGGCCAGGCAGCGCGGGAUGCGCAGCCCGGUGCGAUGCGGUGCGGGCACCCUGCUCCUGGCAGAGCCCCAUCCCUGCGGGGCUCCUGGGGGCUGCGGCCUUUCUGCAGGGUCGCCAGGCACGGCUCAGAGGCUGUGCUGGGGCAAGAUCCGCCCCAUUAACCCGCCGCAGUGGGCCAUGACGGUGCUACCGGUGGGGCUGGUUGGGCAGCACAGGCGCUCGCCGGGGGAUCCGGGGUGUGGCCAGAGGGGCCGGAGUGUGCCGGGGGUCCGGGAUGUGCCUGGUGGGCUGGAGUGUGCCAGGGAAGGCGCGAGGCAGGGGCUGCUGCUGUGGCUCUGCCGGGGUGAUGCCUGGUGCCUGCUCUGUGCCAGGACGAUGCCUGGUGUGUGCCGGGAUGCUGUGCACGGUGUGUGCCGGAGCAGCGCCUGCUGUGUGCUGGGAUGA
ensembl:lncRNA